rnacentral:rRNA from 1 species
UCAGAACGAACGCUGGCGGCAAGCUUAACACAUGCAAGUCGAACGGAUUAUUCUUUAUAGCUUGCUAUAAAGAAUAGUUAGUGGCAGACGGGUGAGUAAUGCAUAGGAAUCUACCUAGUAGUAUGGGAUAGCCACUAGAAAUGGUGGGUAAUACUGUAUAAUCCCUGCGGGGGAAAGAUUUAUCGCUAUUAGAUGAGCCUAUGUUAGAUUAGCUAGUUGGUAGGGUAAAGGCCUACCAAGGCGAUGAUCUAUAGCUGGUCUGAGAGGAUGAUCAGCCACACUGGAACUGAGAUACGGUCCAGACUCCUACGGGAGGCAGCAGUGGGGAAUAUUGGACAAUGGGCGCAAGCCUGAUCCAGCUAUGCCGCGUGAGUGAGGAAGGCC